AUUGAACGCUGGCGGCAGGCCUAACACAUGCAAGUCGAGCGGAGCGGCGGACGGGUGAGUAAUGCCUAGGAAUCUGCCUGGUAGUGGGGGAUAACGUCCGGAAACGGGCGCUAAUACCGCAUACUAUCAGAUGAGCCUAGGUCGGAUUAGCUAGUUGGUGGGGUAAAGGCCUACCAAGGCGACGAUCCGUAACUGGUCUGAGAGGAUGAUCAGUCACACGGGACCUGGGACACGGUCCAGACUCCAACGGUAGGCAGCGGGGGGGAAUGUUGGCAAAUGGGCGAAGGCCUAAUCCAGCCAUGCCGCGUGUGUGAAGAGGGUCUUCGGGUUGUAAGGCACUUUAAGUUGGUAGACGGUACCAACAGAAUAAGCACCGGCUAACUUCGUGCCAGCAGCCGCGGUAAUUC
rnacentral:rRNA from 1 species